CUCCUCCUCGCUACGACGGCGACGACGACAAGUCCUCCAGGCCUCACCGGUUGUCGCUCGCGGCGGUGGCGGCGGCGGCGCCGUCGUCGUCGUCUUCAAUUUCUUCUUCUCCUGCUCUGUCGCCCCGUAAGACGGGAAGCUCAUCCACCUCAUCCCUCUCCUCACCCUCUUCUGCUUCCUCGUCCUCUACCUCUGCUCUCACAGCCCCUCUCAGACCGAUCUGGCUCAGUUCGGCGGGUUCAAGCAUCCGGCGGAGCAAAUAGUUACGACCGACAUUGACGAGAUCGGCCGGUUCAGCGAGGUCCGCAGGGGCGACGAGCUGGCGUUCCGGAGCCAGAGGAGCUUGCGAGAGGUCGCGAGGCGAUCGCAGCAGCAGCCGCGGACAUCUCGCGCCGUUCACCGGAAAUUCGCCGAUUUC